UGGGGAAUUUUGGACAAUGGGCGAAAGCCUGAUCCAGCAAUGCCGCGUGUGUGAAGAAGGCCUUCGGGUUGUAAAGCACUUUUGUCCGGAAAGAAAUCCUUGGCUCUAAUACAGUCGGGGGAUGACGGUACCGGAAGAAUAAGCACCGGCUAACUACGUGCCAGCAGCCGCGGUAAUACGUAGGGUGCAAGCGUUAAUCGGAAUUACUGGGCGUAAAGCGUGCGCAGGCGGUCCGCUAAGACAGAUGUGAAAUCCCCGGGCUUAACCUGGGAACUGCAUUUGUGACUGGCGGGCUAGAGUAUGGCAGAGGGGGGUAGAAUUCCACGUGUAGCAGUGAAAUGCGUAGAGAUGUGGAGGAAUACCGAUGGCGAAGGCAGCCCCCUGGGCCAAUACUGACGCUCAUGCACGAAAGCGUGGGGAGCAAACAGGAUUAGAUACCCUGGUAGUCCACGCCCUAAACGAUGUCAACUAGUUG
rnacentral:rRNA from 1 species